rnacentral:lncRNA from 1 species
GUCAAUAACCUAGGGCUUCACCAUGCCAAAUCCAAAAUGUUCUGUUGUUGAUCUCUGGUAUCAACAGCUCAGAAACUGCAGAACAGACCCCUGACAGUUACCAACACUUUCCUCCAAACAGCAUUCUGUUUACUGUUUCAUGUAUUCUCAGUGGAAACCCCACCAAAGCAAUGCCCUCUAUGGCUUCGGUGAGCAGAGCAGGCCCACUGAGACAGCAGACGCCCCACACUGUCCAAUGUUGCCUACACAGGGUACUUAAGUCAAAGAGCACUUCAUCUUUGGACUAAUAUCUUGGAAUCACAACAAUUGAUUAAAAAUUUUGCCAUGAAAGGCUGCUUUUCUUUCCAAAGUUGACACUCAACCUUAAAGUGCAACUAGACAGGGAAAAAUUCCCUUAGAAAUCACCUUUUCAGACAGGUGCACAUCACCCUGUUUCCAGUCCUGGGACCUUUCAUUGUCUUUGCCCGUGAGCCUGCUCCACAGCCUGAGAACAAAUGUGACGGAGAGUGGCACGCGGGGCUCCGUGAAGUGGAGACUAAUAUGACACAAUUUUGACCCUAAAAAAAAAAAAACAAAAUAGCUGGGCUCCACCUUUGAAGGCAGCCAGGCACAAAGAGCAUCGUGGAGAAGGGGCUUUCAGGGAUCUCUGCAUAGAAAUGCACAAG